UGUACUCCUGACUGUUGGGUUGGUUAUCAUGUUUAUCCUGUGUUCUCCUUCUCUUUGGUUUGGUUUGUACUCUGACAUUCAUUACUGUUAAGUCCGGCCACUCUAAGGACUGUUAAUACAGGCUUUCCUGCUGUCUGUUCAUACCUGGGCUUAGGCAUUCAGUGUAAGGUCCUCCCUUCUUGACAAAAAUAUUUUUAAGGGAAGGAUCAUUACUUUAAUGGUCCUUGCUUAGGUAAAAGACCUAUUGUUAAAGGACACCUGGUAUGCCCCAAACAGAUGAUCAUUAUAUCCUGUUAUAGCAACCAAGGCAUGUGCAAUGGUUGCUAUGGAAACUCCCUAGCUUCUAACACUGGCUAGUUAUUAUAGGAAUGGAGUGAGAUUACUCUGUUCCAACUUUGGCAAUGAAGUGUCG